rnacentral:rRNA from 1 species
AUUGAACGCUGGCGGCAGGCCUAACACAUGCAAGUCGAGCGGAUGAAGGGAGCUUGCUCCUGGAUUCAGCGGCGGACGGGUGAUUAAUGCCUAGGAAUCUGCCUGGUAGUGGGGGAUAACGUCCGGAAACGGGCGCUAAUACCGCAUACGUCCUGCGGGAGAAAGUGGGGGAUCUUCGGACCUCACGCUAUCAGAUGAGCCUAGGUCGGAUUAGCUAGUUGGUGGGGUAAAGGCCUACCAAGGCGACGAUCCGUAACUGGUCUGAGAGGAUGAUCAGUCACACUGGAACUGAGACACGGUCCAGACUCCUACGGGAGGCAGCAGUGGGGAAUAUUGGACAAUGGGCGAAAGCCUGAUCCAGCCAUGCCGCGUGUGUGAAGAAGGUCUUCGGAUUGUAAAGCACUUUAAGUUGGGGGGAAGGGCAGUAAGUUAAUACCUUGCUGUUUUGACGUUACCAACAGAAUAAGCACCGGCUAACUUCGUG